AGCGCAGGUGGGCUGUCAAGUCUGUCUUAAAAGUGCGGGGCUUAACCCCGUGAUGGGAUAGAAACUGGCAGUCUUGAGUGCAGGAGGGGAAAGCGGAAUUCCUAGUGUAGCGGUGAAAUGCGUAGAUAUUAGGAGGAACACCAGUGGCGAAGGCGGCUUUCUGGACUGUAACUGACACUGAGGCUCGAAAGCCAGGGGAGCGAACG
rnacentral:rRNA from 1 species